UACGUAGGGGGCUAGCGUUGUCCGGAAUCAUUGGGCGUAAAGGGCGCGUAGGCGGCCACCGCAAGUCGGUUGUGAAAUCUCCGGGCUUAACCCGGAAAGGUCAAUCGAUACUGCGGGGCUAGAGUGCAGAAGGGGCAACUGGAAUUCUCGGUGUAGCGGUGAAAUGCGUAGAUAUCGAGAGGAACACCUGCGGCGAAGGCGGGUUGCUGGGCUGACACUGAGGGACGAAAGCUAGGGGAGCGAAUGGG
rnacentral:rRNA from 1 species